GCCGUGGUGGCGGAACUGGCAGACGCGUACGUCUCAGAAGCGUAUGAGUGUAAACUCGUGGAGGUUCAAGUCCUCUCCGCGGCA
rnacentral:tRNA from 1 species